rnacentral:tRNA from 2 species
GCAGUCGUGGCCGAGUGGUUGAGGCGAUGGACUAGAAAUUCAUUGGGGUCUCCCCGCACAGGUUCGAAUCCUGUCGACUGCG